AUUGAACGCUGGCGGCAUGCUUUACACAUGCAAGUCGAACGGUAACAGGCCUUCGGGUGCUGACGAGUGGCGAACGGGUGAGUAAUGCAUCGGAACGUACCCAGAGGUGGGGGAUAACGCAGCGAAAGCUGUGCUAAUACCGCAUGUGAUCUGAGGAUGAAAGCGGGGGACCGAGCAGCAAUGUUUGGACUCGCGCCUUUGGAGCGGCCGAUGUCGGAUUAGCUAGUUGGUGGGGUAAAGGCCUACCAAGGCGACGAUCCGUAGCUGGUCUGAGAGGACGACCAGCCACACUGAGACUGAGACACGGCCCAGACUCCUACGGGAGGCAGCAGUGGGGAAUUUUGGACAAUGGGCGCAAGCCUGAUCCAGCAAUGCCGCGUGCGGGAAGAAGGCCUUCGGGUUGUAAACCGCUUUUGGCAGGAACGAAACGGUGUCCGCUAAUACCGGGCGCUAAUGACGGUACCUGCAGAAUAAGCACCGGCUAACUACGUG
rnacentral:rRNA from 1 species